rnacentral:lncRNA from 1 species
AUUAAUUCGAGAUAGAAAAGAGGAGAAGAAGAGAAAAUGAAGGAUAUAUAAAAAGAAUUCAGUAGAGAAAAAAAUGAAGAAAGAAUAAGGCUAUGCCAAUGGAGAUGAACAUCUCAGCGAACUAGAAAAGGGAGGUGACAGGUUCACUUAGGACUCCGUAGGGUACCAAAACUUGGUCAAAUUGUUGGAACUGUCACAUGAGUGUUAACUGGAUUUUCAUACAUGGUCUACGACUCAUGCAUCAAUUCUCACCAUAGGCUUAGACAGAAAUAAAGCAGGAGCUUGAAGAUAUGGGAACGUUCAAAGCUGUUCAUCCAAAGAUCUGACCCCCAAACAUGGAACAUGGGUUCUUGAUAUUCAAACGAACUUUUAUUGGCAAACUAAGGAAUUCGUGCCAAUUCUCUAUAACCUGAUAGUUUAAUCCAAAAAUUUUGGAAAAAUAGAUGAAAGUUUGGAUUUUUAUUUCUUGGAUCUACAAUUCUAUAACAUUGGGUGACCUUUCAAAGAAAUCGAUGGUCGAACAUGAAAGAAGGGAUGAUAAGUGUUGGAUGUUAAAAUUUGGAGAUAUUUGGAGGUGCUACGCUACCAUGAGACGAUUUUCGGGUGGCGGAGAGACGAC